rnacentral:rRNA from 1 species
CGCACGGGUGAGUAACGCGUAGGUAAUCUUCCCUAAUAUUUGGGAUAACAUUGGGAAACUGGUGCUAAUACCGAAUACCCUUCUUUUCUGUCGGGUUAAGGAGGAAAGGUGGCCUCUUCAUGAAAGCUACCGUAUAAGGAUGAGCCUGCGUACCAUUAGCUAGUAGGUGGGGUAAAGGCCCACCUAGGCUACGAUGGUUAGCGGGUCUGAGAGGAUGAUCCGCCACACUGGAACUGGAACACGGACCAG